GAAUAUCAAGCUCAGGGUGUUUAAAACACUAGUUCAGCAUGUGGAAUUGGAAAGACUUUUGGAUACAUCUACUGUACUUGGGCUCAUGCCAACCGAAUCUGCCUGCCAAGAUGAAUUAAGUGGAAUGCUGGUGAAAUGUAGACCAUCUUGGUUCAUCUUUAUGGUUGAACUUGAUGAUCUUGGAGGUCUUCUCCAGCCUUAAUGAUUCUGUGGUUCUGUUAUCUUCACCUGAACUUUGAAUCCUCGGUGUCCAUAUCAGCUGAACAUUAGGGAUAGGAUUCUCACUUGGGUCUGCAGUCAGAAAGAUGGAUCACUGAACACCUCCAGGCUUGGGAUUUAGAAGGUCUCAGAUGAACCCUCAGCUCCUAUGGAAAUAAUAACAACUUAUCAAGGUUUUUAAAGGGACAACACUUUGGUCUCUAAUGGAAAUUUACUUCCAUUCCACCUUGUUAAGAGUUUGUUUACAUGGAAAUAAAUAGAAGGCAUUACUUUCGGAGCAAUCUAUAUGCGACCCAAGAAAAUUCCUCAUCACUCAGUGUGACUCAGACAAGCCAAAAAGUUGGACAUCCAUGAUUACGAUGAUUGCUAACCUUAACAAGAUUGGGAAUAAGAGUGAGGACCUCAAUCCUCGGUCCCAGUUUCCUCGGGGGAAUCAAUCCUUCCAUUAAAUAUCCAAGGAAGUUGCCGGUGGAUAUCUAUCCACAGUGAAUCUGGUGGCCAGAGUAGCUGGGUACAUUGAAUCCUCUACUUCAAAAGUCGAUGAGGUGUUGUUACUGUGAAUGUAAAACACAUGGGAGACGGAAGGGAGAAAAAGAAGGUGUGUGUCAUUUUGCAAUCAGUUCCCUAGAAAAAAAAAAAAAAAAACAGAUUAAGGUUUCUAUACUCUGAAUUUUAUCUGCCUCUUAUAGAGCUGUCAGGUUGAACACAGCUUUUGUAUUUAACAAAAAUAAUCAGGUAGGCCAUGAAUUUUAAUAAAACAAGCAACAGCUCUGGGACUGAUUGGAUUGCUUUGAUGUUCCAUUUUGUCCAGUAACCUUGAGAAAAAUAGUAUCGGGA